UGGGGAAUAUUGGACAAUGGGGGGAACCCUGAUCCAGCAAUGCCGCGUGUGUGAAGAAGGCCUGAGGGUUGUAAAGCACUUUCAGAGGGGAGGAGGACUAUUAGGUUAAGAGCUAGAUAGUUGGACGUUACCCUCAGAAGCAGCACCGGCUAACUCCGUGCCAGCAGCCGCGGUAAUACGGGGGGUGCAAGCGUUGUUCGGAAUUACUGGGCGUAAAGCGAACGUAGGUGGUUAUGUGUGUCUAGUGUGAAAGCCCACGGCUCAACCGUGGAAGUGCGCUAGAAACUGCAUAACUGGAGUGUAGGAGAGGAUAGUAGAAUUCUCAGUGUAGAGGUGAAAUUCGUAGAUACUGGGAGGAACACCGGUGGGGAAGGCGACUAUCUGGACUAUAACUGACACUGAUGUUCGAAAGCGUGGGUAGCAAACAGGAUUAGAUACCCAGGUAGUCCCUGAGCGGGCUGGCAAGGCGCAU
rnacentral:rRNA from 1 species